UACGUAGGGGGCAAGCGUUGUCCGGAUUUAUUGGGCGUAAAGAGCUCGUAGGCGGUUUGUCGCGUCGGCCGUGAAAUCUCCACGCUUAACGUGGAGCGUGCGGUCGAUACGGGCAGACUUGAGUUCGGUAGGGGAGACUGGAAUUCCUGGUGUAGCGGUGAAAUGCGCAGAUAUCAGGAGGAACACCGGUGGCGAAGGCGGGUCUCUGGGCCGAUACUGACGCUGAGGAGCGAAAGCGUGGGGAGCGAACAGG
rnacentral:rRNA from 1 species